rnacentral:rRNA from 1 species
CAAGUCGAGCGCUGAUUCAAGGGUAGCAAUAUUCUUGAGUUGGAGCGGCGCAAGGGUGCGUAACACGUGGGUAAUUUGCCAAAAAGUUGGGGAUAACUCGCUGAAAGGCGAGCUAAUACCGAAUGUGAUAAUUGGGAGGCAUCUCCUGAUUCUUAAAGCUGGGGACCGUAAGGCCUGGCGCUUUUUGAUAAACCCGCGGCCUAUCAGCUAGUUGGUGAGGUAACGGCUCACCAAGGCUAAGACGGGUAGCUGGUCUGAGAGGACGACCAGCCACACUGGAACUGAGACACGGUCCAGACACCUACGGGUGGCAGCAGUCGAGAAUUUUUCACAAUGGGGGAAACCCUGAUGGAGCGACGCCGCGUGGGGGAUGAAUGGCUUCGGCCCGUAAACCCCUGUCAUUCGGGAUCAAUGCUUGCUAUUGAACAAAUGGCAAGUUGAUAGUACCGGAAGAGGAAGGGACGGCUAACUCUGUGCCAGCAGCCGCGGUAAUACAGAGGUCCCAAGCGUUGUUCGGAUUCACUGGGCGUAAAGGGUGCGUAGGUGGCCAGGAAAGUCUGAUGUGAAAUCUCCGAGCUCAACUCGGAAAUGGCAUUGGAAACUAUUUGGCUAGAGGGUCGGAGGGGGGACUGGAAUUCUCGGUGUAGCAGUGAAAUGCGUAGAUAUCGAGAGGAACACCAGUGGCGAAGGCGAGUCCCUGGACGACUCCUGACACUGAGGCACGAAAGCUAGGGGAGCAAACAGGAUUAGAUACCCUGGUAGUCCUAGCUGUAAACGGUGCAUAUUUGCUGUAAAAGGAAUCGACCCCUUUUGUGGCGUAGCAAACGCGUUAAAUAUGCCGCCUGGGAAGUACGGUCGCAAGAUUAAAACUCAAAGAAAUUGACGGGGGCCUGCACAAGC